rnacentral:lncRNA from 1 species
UUCUUUUGUGUUUUUCUUGUCUAAAAGUUGUGAUGAUAAAAAAUAAACAUUCUCAAAAUAUCCUAAAAACAAAAUAUAUCUUGAAUAUUUACAUGUUUUAUUAAGGAAUCUAGAUUCAUUUCUUUCUUUUUUUUUUUUUUUUUCUGAGACGGAGUCUUGCUCUGUCGCUCAGGCUGGAGUGUGGUGGCGCGAUCUCGGCUCACUGCAAGCUCUGCCUCCCAGGUUCACACCAUCCUCCUGCCUCAGCCUCCAGAGUAGCUGGGACUACAGGCACCUGCCACCACGCCCGGCUAGUUUUUUUGUAUUUUUAUUAGAGAUGGGGUUUCACUGUGUUAGCCAGGAUGGUCUCAAUCUCCUAACCUCGUGAUCCGACCACCUCGGCCUCCGAAAGUGCUGGGAUUACAGGCAUGAGCCACCGUGCCCGGCCUAGAUUCAUUUCUUUAAGAACAUUAUUUUUAAAAAGGAUGUAAUAAGUUUGUAGACAUAAAAUUGAAUGUGAUAUCACUCAUAUUUCCUUUUCUGGUUUUUAGGAAAAGAAACAGCACACUCAAAUAGUUUAAGCCUAUAGAGAUUUAUUAGGGGUUAAAGAUAACUUAAAAUUUGAUGGAAAGGUGAAGGCAGAUUUUCAACUGAACUUCAGGAAUGGCUCUCAGAACCAAACUGCAAAGAACCAAACUGCAAACUAGCUCCCUAAGGGUGAAACUCGGAAAUUUGAAAACACCGAAUCAGGCCAUUCUUCUGUUGCGAUCAGCUCUGGGCUUCCUGUCACCACCCAGCUUGCCCCUAUCUGCUUGGGACUGCCUAAUCAGCCAGAAGACCACAAAAAAGGGCACUCAUCCUUUGUCACCUGAAACAGGACAGAUGUGAAGCACUUUCAACAACUUGUGCUUGAGGCCUGGGAUUCUGUAGAGCAUGUUCCAGUGUACAAGAGGAUUCAAGUCCCUGGCAGCCUGCUUUCUAUCCAAAGCUGGGUCACCUCUCUUGGGACCACCAGGACAUUGAAUUGCUUUCCCAUUCCUGUGGACUUCUGAAAUGGGCCCACCUGAGACAAGAACCCAGAGUGCCUAGCACCUUUAGGCUGGGCACAGAACCACCCACCUAGGAACCGAUGACUGCAACCCAGGAGGAGACACAGAUGCCCCCAGAGAUGCCCCCAAGUCACAGCCUCCCUUGAGCCCUGCCAAUGCACUCCCUAACUGCCUCACUUGGCUGGAUCACCCUGCUCCAGGAACAGACAACUGGAGCCUGAGAAAUCAGAUGAUGGAGACCUACCAAGCAUCACCCUCCUCCUGCCUCCCAACAGCCACCACCCAGUGUUCCAAGUCUUGUUGGGAGUAGAGCCCAGGAGCAGUGGCUGAGUUGAUGCAAGGCUGCCUCUGCCACCUGCCUUUGGCCUCCUUGAGAUUUCUUUCACUGAGACUCUUCAAUGGGUGAUCCUGUGCCAAAAGGUUCCUGGAUGCUGUUCCAGGUGUUGAAGAAGGGUCAACCUAGGAUCAGUAUGGUGGCUUAUGCUGAACUGGGAAGAUGCAUGAGGAAGAAGCAGAGAGAACCAAGCAGUCACUUCGCAAGGCCAAUUCUGGAAGAGCACAUUUGGGGAAAAUGGGCUUAAGUAGAGCCAGGAAAGUUCUAGUGGAAAGACAGGAUUGGUCCAAAUGAAUUGAGUCUCCUAACUGGUGAGGCCAAUUCUGGAUGAGCAGAUUUGUGAGAAAUGGGCAAGGCCUUCCCUCUUCCAGGAUAUGUGGGUUUCCUUCAUCACAGUGGCCACCACAUGAAUUUCUAGGAUGAAGGGGUCAAAAUCUCCUGGCAACCUUGAGCUUAAAUUGUGUUUGUGUAACACCUUCCCUAAGGUUCCAAUAAAAUUACUAGGGGGUUUUACAGAGUGAAGUAGAAGGGACUGACAAAGACCCUCCUUGACCAAACCCUAGACACAGUCUCCUCACCCCUUUCCCACCUAUGCUUGGACCUUGGACAUUGCC